rnacentral:rRNA from 1 species
UGGGGAAUAUUGCACAAUGGGGAAACCCUGAUGCAGCGACGCCGCGUGAGCGAAGAAGGUUUUCGAAUCGUAAAGCUCUGUCCUAUGGGAAGAUAAUGACGGUACCAUAGGAGGAAGCCCCGGCUAACUACGUGCCAGCAGCCGCGGUAAUACGUAGGGGGCAAGCGUUGUCCGGAAUCACUGGGCGUAAAGGGUUCGCAGGCGGAAAUGCAAGUCAGUUGUGAAAGGCAGAGGCUCAACCUCUGUAAGCAAUUGAAACUGUAUUUCUUGAGAUGUGGAGAGGCAAGUGGAAUUCCUAGUGUAGCGGUGAAAUGCGUAGAUAUUAGGAAGAAUACCGGUGGCGAAGGCGACUUGCUGGACACAAACUGACGCUGAGGAACGAAAGCGUGGGUGGCAAACAGG